UACGGGGGGGGGCAAGCGUUGUUCGGAAUUACUGGGCGUAAAGGGCUCGUAGGCGGCCAACUAAGUCGGACGUGAAAUCCCUCGGCUUAACCGGGGAACUGCGUCCGAUACUGGAUGGCUUGAGUUUGGGAGAGGGAUGCGGAAUUCCAGGUGUAGCGGUGAAAUGCGUAGAUAUCUGGAGGAACACCGGUGGCGAAGGCGGCAUCCUGGACCACACUGACGCUGAGGAGCGAAAGCCAGGGGAGCAAGCGGG
rnacentral:rRNA from 1 species